UCUCUCUAAUUUAAGUCAAAAUCAAGAUAUUUCACAAGUAGGGAAGGCUUCACCCGAUCAUCCAGUGAUUGUUGCUGUCACUCAUGACAACUUGGUUAACAGUCAUCAAUUUCCAAAAUCUGGUGGUGAACCAAGUGUUGAGUAUUCACAAGAGAAACAGCUUUUUCCAAGUUCAUUUAAAAUCUGUGACCUUAAUCUAAUGGAAGCUUCUGAAAUGACUGAUAGUCAUUGUAACGACCCACCCCUUAUGUACCCGUCUAUCACAGCAAGCAAAAAGGAAGCAGCACAAUUUGAUAUUGAUUUGUCAAUAAGCAAAUCAAAUAAUGGCAGAAAUAUUGAAGUCAUUGAUUUGGAGAAUGAUUCCACCUUAGAAGAUAAGGCUUUUGACAAUUCACAUAGAAAGGAAACAACAUUUACUGGCGCAG
rnacentral:misc_RNA from 1 species